rfam:Crenobacter luteus strain CN10 contig_19, whole genome shotgun sequence.
UCCCUGAUAGCUCAGUUGGUAGAGCGACGGACUGUUAAUCCGCAGGUCGCAGGUUCGAGCCCUGCUCGGGGAG